rnacentral:rRNA from 1 species
UACGUAGGGGGCAAGCGUUGUCCGGAUUUAUUGGGCGUAAAGAGCGUGUAGGCGGCCAUUCAGGUCAGCUGUGAAAACUCGAGGCUCAACCUCGAGACGUCGGUUGAAACCGUUUGGCUAGAGUCCGGAAGAGGAGAGUGGAAUUCCCGGUGUAGCGGUGAAAUGCGCAGAUAUCGGGAAGAACACCCGUGGCGAAGGCGGCUCUCUGGGACGGUACUGACGCUGAGGCGCGACAGCGUGGGGAGCAAACAGG